UGUUGAGGGAUGGGAAUCGAAUCCACAGUGUUCCGCUUACCGGGCAGAUGCCAUGUCCACUAGGCUACCUGGAC
rnacentral:tRNA from 1 species